CGAGACAUGAACAACGAUGGCUGUGCAUUGAAAAGCAAAGAUGCAAAUCAUAAUUUAUAUUGAACCACAAGAAUUUAUCUUGAAAGCCCAUUUCUUGGGAAAUAUUUUUCACAAAUCUUUCUACUAAUCUCAUCGCCAAAUCUUCUUCCCCUCUUACUCUGAAUCUGACUCCACGUUUCCCAUCGCCUUCAACCCUCUUGGUCUCUGAAUAAAUCAAAGAAUUCAAAUUAAUAAAACUAGAAAGAGAGAGGUCUCUGAAUAAAUCAAACAAUUCAAAUUACUCAUUCCGUCUCAUUAUAAAUGUCACACUUUCCAUAAUGGGAUAUUCCACCAUAAAUGUUUCAUUCCUUUAUUGAUAACAUAUUCUCUCUAUAACUAGUAUUUAAAUAAUUUUCAUCAACUCACUAUCUACUAAAUACACAUUCUUAAUUGCUCAAAAAAUAAUCGGACGAAGGGAGUAAUAAACUAGAGAGAGAGAGAAGCAU
rnacentral:lncRNA from 1 species